rnacentral:rRNA from 23 species
UAGUCGGAGGUGUGUCUCGGACGGUCGGUUCGCCGCUUGUCGGUGCUCAACUGGCCGGUCCGGACGUCCUGCCGGUGGGGCUGUAAAAGGCUCCGUUAUCCUUCUUUGGUCCUCUUCAUUGAGUGCCUUGGUGGGCCGGCACGUUUACUUUGAACAAAUUAGAGUGCUCAAAGCAGGCCGUUGGUCGCCUGAAUACUGUGUGCAUGGAAUAAUGGAAUAGGACCUCGGUUCCAUUUUGUUGGUUUUCAGAACUCGAGGUAAUGAUUAAUAGGGACGGACGGGGGCAUUCGUAUUGCGACGUUAGAGGUGAAAUUCUUGGAUCGUCGCAAGACGAACCGAUGCGAAAGCAUUUGCCAAGAACGUUUUCGUUGAUCAAGAACGAAAGUUAGAGGUUCGAAGGCGAUCAGAUACCGCCCUAGUUCUAACCAUAAACGAUGCCAGCUAGCCAUCCGCCGAAGUUCCUUAUAUGACUCGGCGGGCAGCUUCCGGGAAACCAAAGCUCUUGGGUUCCGGGGGAAGUAU